AGAUUGAACGCUGGCGGCAGGCCUAACACAUGCAAGUCGAGCGGCAGCACGGGUACUUGUACCUGGUGGCGAGCGGCGGACGGGUGAGUAAUGCCUAGGAAUCUGCCUGAUAGUGGGGGAUAACGUUCGGAAACGAACGCUAAUACCGCAUACGUCCUACGGGAGAAAGUGGGGGAUCUUCGGACCUCACGCUAUCAGAUGAGCCUAGGUCGGAUUAGCUAGUUGGUAGGGUAAAGGCCUACCAAGGCUACGAUCCGUAACUGGUCUGAGAGGAUGAUCAGUCACACUGGAACUGAGACACGGUCCAGACUCCUACGGGAGGCAGCAGGUGGGGAAUAGUUGGAACAAGUGGGGACGAAAGCCGUUGAUCCAGCCAUGCCGCGUGUGUGAAGUAGGUCUUCGGAUUGUAAAGCUAACUUUAAGGUUAGGGAGGUAAGGCUAAUUAAACCUAGUUACGUUGGUGUCUUAGGACGUUACCGAC
rnacentral:rRNA from 1 species